UACGAAGGUGGCUAGCGUUGUUCGGAAUUACUGGGCGUAAAGCGCACGUAGGCGGACUGUCAAGUCAGGGGUGAAAUCCCGGGGCUCAACCUCGGAACUGCCUCUGAUACUGUCAGUCUAGAGUCCGGAAGAGGUGGGUGGAAUUCCUAGUGUAGAGGUGAAAUUCGCAGAUAUUAGGAAGAACACAGGUGGCGAAGGCGGCCCACUGGUCCGGAACUGACGCUGAGGUGCGAAAGCGUGGGGAGCAAACAGG
rnacentral:rRNA from 1 species